rnacentral:piRNA from 1 species
UCCAGGAGUGUUCAUGAAGGUGUUACA